rnacentral:rRNA from 1 species
GGUGUUGCAUGGCUGUCGUCAGCUCGUGUCGUGAGAUGUUGGGUUAAGUCCCGCAACGAGCGCAACCCUCAUCCUUAGUUACCAUCAGGUAAUGCUGGGGACUUUAAGGAAACUGCCAGUGAUAAACUGGANNNAGGUGGGGAUGAUGUCAAGUCAUCAUGGCCCUUAUGGAGUGGGCUACACACGUGCUACAAUGGUGGCUACAAUGGGCUGCAAAGUCGCGAGGUUAAGCUAAUCCCUUAAAAGCCAUCUCAGUUCGGAUUGUACUCUGCAACUCGAGUGCAUGAAGUUGGAAUCGCUAGUAAUCGUGGAUCAGCACGCCACGGUGAAUACGUUCCCGGGUCUUGUACACAC